GCGGAACAUUUGCGGAAGGCCCGUCGUAAGCGUCGCCACCAAGCCCCGCGACGGCU
rnacentral:sRNA from 1 species